UAACUCCCUGCCCAGCCCCAUCCCUCUUGCUUUUUGUUCCAGAAGUAGCAGAUUCCGGGGAUACUCCAAGAUGAGCUUCCAGGCCCAGCUCCUCUGUCUCCUGGUGAUGGGUUUUCAGGGAUGCAGGGGGCAGAUUAUCCUGACUCAGUCUCCAGAGACCCUGGCAGCAUCUCAGGGCAGCUUUAUCUCCAUCACCUGCAGAAGCAGCAUAGAGGUAGGUACCUCUAUGGCCUGGUACCAACAGAAACCCAAUGAAGCUCCCAGGCUCCUCAUCUUUGGGGCUUCUGCUCGGGCUGAGGGAACCCCAUCCAGGUUCCGAGGAAGUGGUUCUGGCUCUGUCUUCUCCCUCACCAUCCAUGGACUGGAACCUAAAGACUUUGGGGUGUAUUACUGCCAGCAGCACUUGAGCCGGCCUCUCACAGUGACAGAUCCCCAAACAAAAAUACCCUUUCUGGUCUAUAGACAUCUGCCCUGGUACAAAGACACCUGCUUCCUGCAGGAGGCCACAAUGUGA